GAUGAACGCUGGCGGCGUGCCUAAUACAUGCGAGUCGAGCGAACAGACGAGGAGCUUGCUCCUCUGACGUUAGCGGCGGACGGGUGAGUAACACGUGGAUAACCUACCUAUAAGACUGGGAUAACUUCGGGAAACCGGAGCUAUACCGGAUAAUAUAUUGAACCGCAUGGUUCAAUAGUGAAAGACGGUUUUGCUGUCACUUAUAGAUGGAUCCGCGCCGCAUUAGCUAGUUGGUAAGGUAACGGCUUACCAAGGCAACGAUGCGUAGCCGACCUGAGAGGGUGAUCGGCCACACUGGAACUGAGACACGGUCCAGACUCCUACGGGAGGCAGCAGUAGGGAAUCUUCCGCAAUGGGCGAAAGCUUGACGGAGCAACGCCGCGUGAGUGAUGAAGGUCUUCGGAUCGUAAAACUCUGUUAUUAGGGAAGAACAAAUGUGUAAGUAACUAUGCACGUCUUGACGGUACCUAAUCAGAAAGCCACGGCUAACUACGUG
rnacentral:rRNA from 1 species